CUGUCUCUGUGCGGUGUGCUGGGGAAUGCAUGGGGUUUAAAGUCAGGUAGAUUUGGGCCUGCCACUUUACAUCUGUAGCUGGUUCAUGUGUUUAGUCUAUCAAGAAGCAAUCAGAAUACAACUAGCAACAGACAUUACUCUCCAUGCAUAAGAUCCCUUCAGAUAUAGAAGAAUCUACCAGUACCCAGGUGAAGAAGAAACAGUUGUCACUUGCUAAAGGGUCUCCUGGAACCUUUUCUCCAGAUCACAAUGUUUAAAGGAGAUGAUAAAAAUGCUGCAACCCAGAUAAUGAUCACCUUACUCUUCAAAAAUACUGCCCAAGGUACUGCUGAUUAUCAUUACCUCUCUGUAUCUGGUCUCUUUCACUACAUGGUAGGAAAUUAUGUAUGGUGGGUUGAAUGGCUGCCCCUGUCCCGACCCCCUGCACUCCCUCCAUCCCCCAUCUUCCUACCCCCAACAAAAUACGUGUCCAUUUGGACCCUGAGAAUGUGUUCACCUUGAAUCUGUGAAUGUGAGGCAGGAGAAUAGGGUCUGGAGGCUGGGAAUAUAAGGCCAAUUCAUGCUGACUUCCUAGAACUAAAUCAAAUGGAAACACUUCAGCUAUGACAAGAAAAAUCCUCUCUAUUUACAUAGGGAUUACACUGAGUAAAUGACUUUGUAACUUUACUUCAUCCUCUUCAUUUACAUAGGGCAUACACCAAGUAACCAGUGGAAACCUCUAGAUGGUAUUUAAACCCCAGAAAAUUCUGUAAACGGGGGUUUGAGCCCCUAUGCUUGGGCCUGCUCCCACCCUGUGGACUGUAUUUUCAUUUUCAAUAGAUCUCUGCUUUUUUUGCAUCAUUCUUUCCUUGCUUUGUGUGUUUUGUCCAGUUCUUUGUUCAAGAUGCCAAGAACCUGGAUACCCUCCACUGGUAACAAAUAUGACUUUGUUUUUAGCAAGCAACUUUGCAGUGUAAUUAAGUUAAGGAUCUUGAGAUGAGAUCAUCUUGGAAUAUCUGGGUGGGCCCUAAAUCCAAUGACAAGUGUCCUCAUAGGAAGGGAAGAUACACACAGAGGAGAAGGUGGUGUGAAGAUGGAAGCCAAGACUGUUGAUACCAGUUGGAGAGCACCAAGAACUACCCGCAGCCACUGAAAGCUAGGAGAGAGGCAUAGGACUGUCUCCUUCAGACCCUCCAGAAAGACCAAACCUGCCCGUGCCUUGAUUUCAGACUUUUGGCCUCCCACAUUGUGAGAGAAUAAAAUUUUGUUUUUGAAGCCAUC
rnacentral:lncRNA from 10 species